GCGAAGGUGGCUCACUGGCUCGAUACUGACGCUGAGGUGCGAAAGAGUGGGGGAGCAAACAGGAUUAGAUACCCUGGUAGUCCACGCCGUAAACGAUGAAAUGCCAGUCGUCGGCAAGUAUACUUGUCGGUGACACACAUAACGGAUUAAGCAUUCCGCCUGGGGAGUACGGCAGCAAGGUUAAAAACUCAAAGGAAUUGACGGGGGCCCGCACAAGCGGUGGAGCAUGUGGUUUAAUUCGAAGCAACGCGCAGAACCUUACCAACCCUUGACAUGGGCAUCGUUUUUCCAGAGAUGGAUCGGUCAGUUAGGCUGGAUGCCACACAGGUGCUGCAUGGCUGUCGUCAGCUGGAGUCGUGAGAUGUUCGGUUAAAUCCGGCAACGAGCGCAACCCACAUCCUUAGUUGCCAGCAUUAAGUUGGGCACUCUAAGGGAACUGCCCGUGAUAAGCGGGAGGAAGGUGUGGAUGACGUCAAGUCCUCAUGGCCCUUACGGGUUGGGCUACACACGUGCUACAAUGGUGGUGACAAUGGGUUAAUCCCCAAAAGCCAUCUCAGUUCGGAUUGUCGUAUGCAACUAGACGGCAUGAAGUCGGAAUCGCUAGUAAUCGUGUAACAGCAUGACGCGGUGAAUACGUUCCCGGGCCUUGUACACUCCGCCCGUCACACCAUGGGAGAUGGGUUUACCCGAAGACGGUGCGCCAACCUGUAAAGGAGGCAGCCGGCCGCGGUAAGAUCAGCGAAUGGGGUGAAGUCGUAACAAGGUAGCCGU
rnacentral:rRNA from 1 species